AGAAUUACUGGGUCCUUGUGGACCACUUCAUGGUGACCUGUGAAAAGUCCCUGAACAAAAUGGGCUUAGCCAAGCCUGAUGCACACCAAGAGAGGACAUUUCACCUUCAUUUUGUUCACUGUGAAGAUACUUGGGAAAGAAAAGUGGCUAUAUAUGAGGAGAUGAUGUCCCUACCCGAGGAAUGGUACUGAACCAGCAGUGGAUGGCCCACAGACAAAUGGAUGAAGAUCAGCAGGAGCACUAGGACUUGGACGCAUCCUUCAGCAUCAAAUUCAGGAUGAUUGGAUGAACCCAUUAUGGGAGAAACACUGAGGCAGCAUGAAGGACAUGGGAGGAUAUCCAAGAAAUGCUGCAGUACCUGAAGGGCUGUUCUCCCGGUGGAUGACCCACGUUGGGGCAGGGUGUGAGGAGCUACCCAUGUGGAUGACCCCAUGCUGGAGCAGUUCAUGAGGAACUGUAGUCUAUGGGAAGGACCCACAUUGGAGAAGUUCAUGGAGGACUGUCUCCCAUGGGGAGGGACCUCACACUGUAGCAGUGGGAAGUGUGAGGAGACCCCAACAGUCCAUCUGUAAUGAACUGACCAUAACCCCCAUCCCCCAUCCCCUAUCCCCUACACCAUUGGGGGAGAAGGAAGGGGAGACCUGGGAAGAGGGAGGGGUGGGAAGAGGUUUUUUAAGAUUUAGGGUUAUUUUGCAUCUCCCUAUUCUGGUGGUUUAUUGAUAAACCUUUUUCUCCCCAAGUUGAGUCUGUUUUGCGCAUGGUGCUAAUUGCUGGGUAAUCUCCCUUGUCCUUAUCUCAACUCAAACCUCUCAUUGUAUUUUUCUCUCCCCUGUCCAGUUUAGGAGGGGGAGUAAUACUAUGACUUAGUGGGCAUCUGGCACCCAAUGAGGGCUAAACCACCACAAAUACCUACCCUCGCUGGCCAUGAGAGACGUUACUCGGGAGGGUUAGAGAUGGUCAGUACAUGAGCAGUUCUCUCUCCCUCUAGUAUGCUGCUCUGAGGACUCUCCCUCCCGUUUCAGUCUCACUGCCAGCAGUAUUUCCAUGAGAAAACGCUAGUUCGGCCAACUGCAUCCAUUCCACCAAAACCGCUGAGAGAGCCCAGGAUAGGCAGCCAGCCUCACCAGCACACGGUCUGCCUGCCUCCAUCUGCUCCCAGUGCCAGGCUAUCUCCUUGACUGCACAGUGCUUUUAAACUUAAAUUUCUCUAAAAAUUUUGCAUUCCUGAGCUAAAAUUGAAAAUCUACUGCACCAUGCCAAAGCAGAAAAUUUUCAGCAAAGGACAAAGGAAUCUUGCUCUUGCAUUUCUAUUUCUAACCAUUGCAUUUGGGGUUCUUAAUUACUUAGAAGAGCAAGACCUGAACUGGACAAGUAUCAAGAUGGCUAGCUACUUUGCAAACAACAGGAAUUUCAACAUCAUCGCAGCAAUAAGACCAGUGAUAAUUCUCUACAUCACCAAUCAACUAUUAUAUGAAAUCCACUGUAUCCUAGAUACACAACAAGAUAUAUUACAGCUAUGUAUGAAGA